UUCUCUGCAAGGGGCCACAGUGGGGUC
rnacentral:piRNA from 1 species